CGUCGUCUAUCUAAGAGGUAUAUCUAUGACAAACUUAUAAAGUGAUAGAUAGUACUAGAUCUGAUAUAAGUCGUACAUGGUGCUGUGGAGAACCAUAGCAGGAUCAUAA
rnacentral:rRNA from 1 species